UGCAGUCGAUCGCUCUUUUCGGAGAGAGAGGCGCACGAGGUGAGUAACACGUGGGAAUAUACCCUUGAGUACGGAAUAACUAUUGGAAACGAUAGCUAAUACCGUAUACGCCCUACGGGGGAAAGAUUUAUCGCUCAAGGAUUAGCCCGCGUCUGAUUAGCUAGUUGGUGAGGUAAUGGCUCACCAAGGCGACGAUCAGUAGCUGGUUUGAGAGAAUGAUCAGCCACACUGGGACUGAGACACGGCCCAGACUCCUACGGGAGGCAGCAGUGGGGAAUAUUGGACAAUGGGCGCAAGCCUGAUCCAGCCAUGCCGCGUGAGUGAAGAAGGCCUUCGGGUUGUAAAGCUCUUUCAGACGUGAAGAUGAUGACGGUAACGUCAGAAGAAGCCCCGGCUAACUUCGUGCCAGCAGCCGCGGUAAUACGAAGGGGGCAAGCGUUGUUCGGAAUUACUGGGCGUAAAGCGCGCGUAGGCGGCGUCGUCAGUCAGAGGUGAAAUCCCAGGGCUCAACCUUGGAAUUGCCUUUGAUACUGCGAUGCUUGAGUUCGAGAGAGGGUGGCGGAAUACCCAGUGUAGAGGUGAAAUUCGUAGAUAUUGGGUAGAACACCAGUGGCGAAGGCGGCCACCUG
rnacentral:rRNA from 1 species